rnacentral:rRNA from 1 species
UACGUAGGUGGCGAGCGUUGUCCGGAUUUACUGGGCGUAAAGGGCGUGCAGGCGGUUUGUUAAGUGCAGGGUGAAAGCUCCCGGCUCAACUGGGAGAGGUCCUUGCAUACUGGCGAACUCGAGGGAGGCAGAGGAAAGUGGAAUUCCCGGUGUAGUGGUGAUAUGCGUAGAUAUCGGGAGGAACACCAAUGGCGAAGGCAGCUCGCUGGGACGUUACUGACGCUGAGACGCGAAAGCGUGGGGAGCAAACAGG